rnacentral:rRNA from 1 species
GUGAGGAAUAUUGGUCAAUGGGCGAGAGCCUGAACCAGCCAAGUCGAGUGAAGGAAGAAGGAUCUAUGGUUCGUAAACUUCUUUUGCAGGGGAAUAAAGUGCGGGACGUGUCCUGUUUUGUAUGUACCCUGAGAAUAAGGAUCGGCUAACUCCGUGCCAGCAGCCGCGGUAAUACGGAGGAUCCGAGCGUUAUCCGGAUUUAUUGGGUUUAAAGGGUGCGUAGGUGGUUUGAUAAGUCAGCGGUGAAAGUUUGCAGCUUAACUGUAAAAAUGCCGUUGAAACUGUCGGACUUGAGUGUAAAUGAGGUAGGCGGAAUGCGUGGUGUAGCGGUGAAAUGCAUAGAUAUCACGCAGAACUCCGAUUGCGAAGGCAGCUUACUAAGCUACAACUGACACUGAAGCACGAAAGCGUGGGGAUCAAACAGGAUUAGAAACCCCUGUAGUCC